AGAGUUUGAUCAUGGCUCAGAAUGAACGCUGGCGGCGUGCUUAACACAUGCAAGUCGUGCGCGAAGGAGGCUUCGGCCUCUGGAGAGCGGCGAACGGGUGAGUAACACGUGGGUAAUCUGCCUGGGAGCGGGGGAUAACCUGGGGAAACUCGGGCUAAUACCGCAUACGUUGAUGGGACUUUGGUCCUGUCAGGAAAGCUGGCCUCUGCUUGCAAGCUAGCGCUCCCAGAGGAGCCCGCGGCUGAUUAGCUAGUUGGUGAGGUAAUGGCUCACCAAGGCUUCGAUCAGUAGCCGGCCUGAGAGGGUGAUCGGCCACACUGGGACUGAGACACGGCCCAGACUCCUACGGGAGGCAGCAGUGGGGAAUAUUGGACAAUGGGCGCAAGCCUGAUCCAGCAACGCCGCGUGGAGGAUGAAGGUCUUCGGAUCGUAAACUCCUGUCAGAUGGGACGAAGGCGGCGGGGUAAACAAUCCUGCUGUUUGACGGUACCAUCAGAGGAAGCCCCGGCUAACUCCGUGCCAGCAGCCGCGGUA
rnacentral:rRNA from 1 species